rnacentral:tRNA from 1 species
AAAAAGUAAAAUUUGGGCUGCUAACUUAAAUUUGGGUGUAAAUCCACUUUUUU